UACGGGGGGGGGCAAGCGUUGUUCGGAAUUACUGGGCGUAAAGGGCUCGUAGGCGGCCAACUAAGUCAGACGUGAAAUCCCUCGGCUUAACCGGGGAACUGCGUCUGAUACUGGAUGGCUUGAGUUCGGGAGAGGGAUGCGGAAUUCCAGGUGUAGCGGUGAAAUGCGUAGAUAUCUGGAGGAACACCGGUGGCGAAGGCGGCAUCCUGGACCGAUACUGACGCUGAGGAGCGAAAGCCAGGGGAGCAAAGCGGG
rnacentral:rRNA from 1 species